UACGUAGGGUGCAAGCGUUAAUCGGAAUUACUGGGCGUAAAGCGUGCGCAGGCGGUUUUGUAAGUCUGUCGUGAAAUCCCCGGGCUCAACCUGGGAAUUGCGAUGGAGACUGCAAGGCUAGAAUCUGGCAGAGGGGGGUAGAAUUCCACGUGUAGCAGUGAAAUGCGUAGAGAUGUGGAGGAACACCGAUGGCGAAGGCAGCCCCCUGGGUCAAGAUUGACGCUCAUGCACGAAAGGCGUGGGGAGCAAACAGGAUUACGA
rnacentral:rRNA from 1 species